UACGUAGGGUGCGAGCGUUGUCCGGAAUUAUUGGGCGUAAAGGGCUCGUAGGCGGUUUGUCGCGUCGGGAGUGAAAACCCAGGGCUUAACUCUGGGCUUGCUUUCGAUACGGGCAGGCUAGAGUUCGGUAGGGGAGACUGGAAUUCCUGGUGUAGCGGUGAAAUGCGCAGAUAUCAGGAGGAACACCGGUGGCGAAGGCGGUUCUCUGGGCAUUACCUGACGCUGAGGAGCGAAAGUGUGGGGAGCGAACAGG
rnacentral:rRNA from 1 species